rnacentral:rRNA from 1 species
CCUACGGGUGGCAGCAGUGAGGAAUAUUGGUCAAUGGGCGGAAGCCUGAACCAGCCAAGUCGCGUGAGGGAUUAAGGCCCUGGGGGUGGUAAACCUCUUUUGCCGGGGAGCAGUGGUCCGGACGCGUACGGACGGGGAGAGUACCCGGAGAAAAAGCAUCGGCUAACUCCGUGCCAGCAGCCGCGGUCAUACGGAGGAUGCGAGCGUUAUCCGGAUUUAGUGGGUUGAAGGGUUGCGUAGGCGGGCAAUUAGGCCGGCGGUAAAAUGGCGGGGCGCAACCCCGGCCGGCCGUCGGAACUGGGUGCCUUGAGUGGGCGAGAAGUAUGCGGAAUGCGGGGUGUAGCGGUGAAAUGCAUAGAUAUCACGCAGAACCCCGAUUGCGAAGGCAGCAUACCGGCGCCCUACUGACGCUGAGGCACGAAAGUGCGGGUAUCGAACAGGAUUAGAUACCCUUGUAGUC